CCACCAGGUCCGGAUAAAGUAAACAGCUGCAGUUCGUUAAAGACACGUGAACACUCACCUGCUGACAUGUCACUGCAGCCACACGAAUACUGAGCCUCUGCUCGUCAACUGGAACGUCCACCACCACUUCCUAUCAUAUCAUGAAUGCCAAUUUUAACAAUAAAUGAGGAAUGGAAAUGGCUGCAGGCAUCAACCUCAAUCAGGGAGGAUGAAGAUAACCUUACACAGGUCAUGGGGAGAAGAAGCCCAUCCCAUCAUGCACUGGGUGAGAGGUGUUGAAUCGACAGGACUGAACAAAAGAGUUAAAGGGGAAGAAAAGCACUGCAGAGGGAUCUCCAAGCACACAGCUUACAACCUUGACAAACUGAUUAGGUGGAAGAAUACUUUGAUGUGGCAUGAAAGACACCAUCUGCUUGUUGUACUGUCACACAUUCGCAGUGGUAAACAGCUUCUGGUGCACAGACAGAAAGCGUUUAAGAAAAUAAAGUUUUCAAUGUCACUGCUAAUGGAGAACAAUUUAGACCAAAUGUGGCAACAUAAAGUCAACAAAUAAGACAGAAGACAAAAUGUUGUAUUCAAACACUACUCGGAUAAUUGCGAUUAUGCAGGCUAAACCCUUUGCACAAUUUAAUGCCAUGUGAAAUAUUCUGCCUCAACAAGCACAUUAAACUGCUGCUCUGCUUUUACAGUUUAAAAGGGGUACUUUUUUAAAGAGCUGCAUCAAUGCUUGUUUACCUUCCACAAGUCAAUGUUUUUUUCCGGUAAAUUCUUUAGACUGGUAUAGAUACUCAAAAAACAGGACAGUGCAACCCAGCAAUGACGAAGCUGUGGCUCGGUUAGAAAAAAAAUCCAAAAGACAUCUUCAAGGUCACAGAUGCUUAAUUACAAUGAUGCUAUCUCUAAUGAACCAAAUCGUCCUUGGCAAGCCACCAUUAACAGCCGAGUGCCGGGGUCGUGGACAUGGUUGGCAAUCUCUGCGGGGGUUAUGAGCCGCUUGCAAGAACAACAUCUCAAUCUUUUAUGUGAACACAGACUGCACUGCACACAUAGAAGCAGUUGGUUUCUGUCAGUGAGAAGAGGUCUUUAGGCGUUAAUCAAUACCACUGGAACACCAUGGCAGAUCUCUUAGUUCUACAGUAAUAUUACCUGAAUUUAAGUCAGUCAUUUAAUGGAAGGGGUUUCUUUGUACAGACAUGGCGAUUCUGACCACUCCACUAAAGUUAUUGUAAUAUUUGCUCUCCUUUUUUAUCUCUGAUUUCGGGUUCCACCAACUCUUGAGGGAAAUAUGUGGCUCUUUACCUGCAAAAUGCUCCACUAUGUUUACCAGCCAAUCGCUGAAUUCAUUUGCCAUUUGGUGCUGCGUGGGCAGCAGUGGCUUUAAAGCUUCUUUUUUUAUUUUUUGUAUGCCUGAUGCUGCUGCAGUCAGGGUUAAUGAGAGUAGUGGAGGUGAAUCAAAACAGGAACGUUGUGGCUCAUAAAGCCAAAACAAUGAGCAGAGAGACACUAAAAUGCUCCAUAUAACUCAGGUGAACUGCAGAGUGAUAAUACUCGGUGGGUGUUUCAUUACUGGCAACCCCCUUUCACAUGCCAUGUUCGUAUUCGAGCCAUUGUUUUAUUAUUAUUAUAUUAUAUUAAUAAUUAAGGUAUUAAGGUAUUAUUUAUUAUGAUCAGUGCAGCUUUAUUCUGCUACCAGGCCAUUUUUUUCCUGUCUUUUCAGGUGCAGCUUAAAAACUAAAAAACAUUCACAUAAAUGUUUAAUAUGUAUUCAGGGCAUGUAAUAGAAUUUCAAUGAG